AACAUUCAUUGCUGUCGGUGGGUUGUGAUGCUGAAGGGAAAACUCACGGAUCAAUGAAUGCAA
rnacentral:pre_miRNA from 1 species